UAGGGAAUCUUCGGCAAUGGACGGAAGUCUGACCGAGCAACGCCGCGUGAGUGAAGAAGGUUUUCGGAUCGUAAAGCUCUGUUGUAAGAGAAGAACGAGUGUGAGAGUGGAAAGUUCACACUGUGACGGUAUCUUACCAGAAAGGGACGGCUAACUACGUGCCAGCAGCCGCGGUAAUACGUAGGUCCCGAGCGUUGUCCGGAUUUAUUGGGCGUAAAGCGAGCGCAGGCGGUUAGAUAAGUCUGAAGUUAAAGGCUGUGGCUUAACCAUAGUACGCUUUGGAAACUGUUUAACUUGAGUGCAAGAGGGGAGAGUGGAAUUCCAUGUGUAGCGGUGAAAUGCGUAGAUAUAUGGAGGAACACCGGUGGCGAAAGCGGCUCUCUGGCUUGUAACUGACGCUGAGGCUCGAAAGCGUGGGGAGCAAACAGGAUUAGAUACCCUGGUAGUCCACGCUGUAAACGAUGUCGACUUGGAGGUUGUUCCCUUGAGGAGUGGCUUCCGGAGCUAACGCGUUAAGUCGACCGCCUGGGGAGUACGGCCGCAAGGUUA
rnacentral:rRNA from 1 species